rnacentral:rRNA from 1 species
UACGUAGGGGGCUAGCGUUGUCCGGAAUCAUUGGGCGUAAAGCGCGCGUAGGCGGCCAGAUAAGUCCGGUGUGAAAGUCACAGGCUCAACCUGUGAAUGCCGCUGGAAACUGUCUGGCUAGAGUCCGGAAGGGGCGAGUGGAAUUCCUGGUGUAGCGGUGAAAUGCGCAGAUAUCAGGAGGAACACCAAUUGCGAAGGCAGCUCGCUGGGACGUAACUGACGCUGAGACGCGAAAGCGUGGGGAGCAAACAGG